rnacentral:rRNA from 1 species
CUAGUAAACGGCGAGUGAAGCGGGAAGAGCUCAAAUUUGAAAUCUGGUAGCCUUCGGUUGCCCGAGUUGUAAUCUAGAGAAGUGUUUUCCGUGCCGGCCCAUGUACAAGUCCCUUGGAACAGGGCGUCAUAGAGGGUGAGAAUCCCGUCCUUGACAUGGACCCCCGGUGCUUUGUGAUACACUUUCAACGAGUCGAGUUGUUUGGGAAUGCAGCUCAAAAUGGGUGGUGAAUUCCAUCUAAAGCUAAAUAUUGGCGAGAGACCGAUAGCGAACAAGUACCGUGAGGGAAAGAUGAAAAGCACUUUGGAAAGAGAGUUAAACAGUACGUGAAAUUGUUGAAAGGGAAACGAUUGAAGUCAGUCAUGCUCUUGGGACUUACCUCCCUUGAGUGGGGUCAACAUCAGUUUUGAUCGAUGGAUAAAGGCACGGGGAAGGUAGCACUCUCGGGUGAACUUAUAGCCUCGCGUCAUAUACAUUGAUUGGGACUGAGGAACGCAGCAUGCCUUAUGGCCGGGAUUCGUCCACGUACAUGCUUAGGAUGUUGACAUAAUGGCUUUAAACGACCCGUCUUG